CCUACGGGUGGCAGCAGUGAGGAAUAUUGGUCAAUGGGCGAAAGCCUGAACCAGCCAAGUAGCGUGCAGGAUGAAGGUCCUACGGGUCGUAAACCGCUUUUACAUGGGGAUAAAAGGCUCCACGUGUGGAGGUUUGCAUGUACCAUACGAAUAAGGGCCGGCUAAUUCCGUGCCAGCAGCCGCGGUAAUACGGAAGAUCCGAGCGUUAUCCGGAUUUAUUGGGCUUAAAGGGAGGGUAGGUGGGGGGUUAAGUCCGGUUUUAAAUUCGCGGGCUCCACCGGAACAUCGCAGUUGAAACUGGAAGUCUUGAGUUCAGUACAGGUAGGCGGAAUUCGUGGUGUAGCGGUGAAAUGCAUAGAUAUCACGAGGAACCCCGAUUGCGAAGGCAGCCUGCUGGGCUGCGACUGACGCUGAGGCUCGAAGGUGCGGGUAUCAAACAGGAUUAGAUACCCUAGUAGUC
rnacentral:rRNA from 1 species